GGGGAAUAUUGUACAAUGGAGGAAACUCUGAUGCAGCAACGCCGCGUGAGUGAUGAAGGUCUUCGGAUUGUAAAGCUCUGUCUUCUGGGACGAUAAUGACGGUACCAGAGGAGGAAGCCACGGCUAACUACGUGCCAGCAGCCGCGGUAAUACGUAGGUAGCAAGCGUUGUCCGGAUUUACUGGGCGUAAAGGAUGUGUAGGCGGAUAUUUAAGUGAGAUGUGAAAUCCCCGGGCUUAACUUGGGGGCUGCAUUUCAAACUGGAUGUCUAGAGUGCAGGAGAGGGAAGCAGAAUUCCUAGUGUAGCGGUGAAAUGCGUAGAGAUUAGGAAGAAUACCAGUGGCGAAGGCGGCUUUCUGGACUGUAACUGACGCUGAGGCGCGAAAGCGUGGGGAGCAAAC
rnacentral:rRNA from 1 species